UCUGGGAUUAGAUACCCUGUUAUUUAAAAGUAAAUAAAAAUAAUUAAAUAGUAUUAGUUAUAUUCUUGAAAUUUAAAAAAUUUGGCGGUAUUUUAUUCUAUUUAGAGGAACUUGUUUUUUAAUUGAUAAUCCUCAUUUUAUCUUUCUUAAUAAUUUAAUUUAUAUAUCGUCGUCAUCAGAAAAUUUUUAAAAAAUAAUAAUUUUCUAAAAUAUAAAUUUUUAAUUAUGUCAGAUCAAGGUGUAGUUUAUGAUUAAGUUAAAAUGAGUUACAAUAAAUAAAUUUAUAUGAAUAUAAUUAUGAAAAAUUUAUUGAAAGUGGAUUUAUUAGUAAAAUUAUUUAGAAAAAUAGUUUGAUUUAAGUUUUAAAAUAUGUACAAAUCGCCCG
rnacentral:rRNA from 1 species